AGCCCCGUAGUGUAGUGGCCAAGCAUACGGGCCUUUGAAGCCUGGGACAGGAGUUCGACUCUCCUCGGGGCUA
rnacentral:tRNA from 1 species